UUGUAAACCUGAUAGGAGCGAACACGUAGUGCAACGAAGUAAAGCGGAUAGCAGGGCUGAAU
rnacentral:sRNA from 1 species